GACGAACGCUGGCGGCGUGCCUAAUACAUGCAAGUAGAACGCUGAAGAGAGGAGCUUGCUCUUCUUGGAUGAGUUGCGAACGGGUGAGUAACGCGUAGGUAACCUGCCUUGUAGCGGGGGAUAACUAUUGGAAACGAUAGCUAAUACCGCAUAACAAUAGGUGACACAUGUCAUUUAUUUGAAAGGGGCAAUUGCUCCACUACAAGAUGGACCUGCGUUGUAUUAGCUAGUAGGUGAGGUAACGGCUCACCUAGGCGACGAUACAUAGCCGACCUGAGAUGGUGAUCGGCCACACUGGGACUGAGACACGGCCCAGACUCCUACGGGAGGCAGCAGUAGGGAAUCUUCGGCAAUGGGGGCAACCCUGACCGAGCAACGCCGCGUGAGUGAAGAAGGUUUUCGGAUCGUAAAGCUCUGUUGUAAGUCAAGAACGAGUGUGAGAGUGGAAAGUUCACACUGUGACGGUAGCUUACCAGAAAGGGACGGCUAACUACGUG
rnacentral:rRNA from 1 species